GGUUCAAGUCCCUNUAUCCCCA
rnacentral:tRNA from 1 species